UGUUUCGGCAAGGGGGUCAUCCCGACUUACCAACCCGAUGCAAACUGCGAAUACCGGAGAAUGUUAUCACGGGAGACACACGGCGGGUGCUAACGUCCGUCGUGAAGAGGGAAACAACCCAGACCGCCAGCUAAGGUCCCAAAGUCAUGGUUAAGUGGGAAACGAUGUGGGAAGGCCCAGACAGCCAGGAUGUUGGCUUAGAAGCAGCCAUCAUUUAAAGAAAGCGUAAUAGCUCACUGGUCGAGUCGGCCUGCGCGGAAGAUGUAACGGGGCUAAACCAUGCACCGAAGCUGCGGCAGCGACGCUUAUGCGUUGUUGGGUAGGGGAGCGUUCUGUAAGCCUGUGAAGGUGUGCUGUGAGGCAUGCUGGAGGUAUCAGAAGUGCGAAUGCUGACAUAAGUAACGAUAAAGCGGGUGAAAAGCCCGCUCGCCGGAAGACCAAGGGUUCCUGUCCAACGUUAAUCGGGGCAGGGUGAGUCGACCCCUAAGGCGAGGCCGAAAGGCGUAGUCGAUGGGAAACAGGUUAAUAUUCCUGUACUUGGUGUUACUGCGAAGGGGGGACGGAGAAGGCUAUGUUGGCCGGGCGACGGUUGUCCCGGUUUAAGCGUGUAGGCUGGUUUUCCAGGCAAAUCCGGAAAAUCAAGGCUGAGGCGUGAUGACGAGGCACUACGGUGCUGAAGCAACAAAUGCCCUGCUUCCAGGAAAAGCCUCUAAGCAUCAGGUAACAUCAAAUCGUACCCCAAACCGACACAGGUGGUCAGGUAGAGAAUACCAAGGCGCUUGAGAGAACUCGGGUGAAGGAACUAGGCAAAAUGGUGCCGUAACUUCGGGAGAAGGCACGCUGAUAUGUAGGUGAAGUCCCUCGCGGAUGGAGCUGAAAUCAGUCGAAGAUACCAGCUGGCUGCAACUGUUUAUUAAAAACACAGCACUGUGCAAACACGAAAGUGGACGUAUACGGUGUGACGCCUGCCCGGUGCCGGAAGGUUAAUUGAUGGGGUCAGCGCAAGCGAAGCUCUUGAUCGAAGCCCCGGUAAACGGCGGCCGUAACUAUAACGGUCCUAAGGUAGCGAAAUUCCUUGUCGGGUAAGUUCCGACCUGCACGAAUGGCGUAAUGAUGGCCAGGCUGUCUCCACCCGAGACUCAGUGAAAUUGAACUCGCUGUGAAGAUGCAGUGUACCCGCGGCAAGACGGAAAGACCCCGUGAACCUUUACUAUAGCUUGACACUGAACAUUGAGCCUUGAUGUGUAGGAUAGGUGGGAGGCUUAGAAGUGUGGACGCCAGUCUGCAUGGAGCCGACCUUGAAAUACCACCCUUUAAUGUUUGAUGUUCUAACGUUGACCCGUAAUCCGGGUUGCGGACAGUGUCUGGUGGGUAGUUUGACUGGGGCGGUCUCCUCCUAAAGAGUAACGGAGGAGCACGAAGGUUGGCUAAUCCUGGUCGGACAUCAGGAGGUUAGUGCAAUGGCAUAAGCCAGCUUGACUGCGAGCGUGACGGCGCGAGCAGGUGCGAAAGCAGGUCAUAGUGAUCCGGUGGUUCUGAAUGGAAGGGCCAUCGCUCAACGGAUAAAAGGUACUCCGGGGAUAACAGGCUGAUACCGCCCAAGAGUUCAUAUCGACGGCGGUGUUUGGCACCUCGAUGUCGGCUCAUCACAUCCUGGGGCUGAAGUAGGUCCCAAGGGUAUGGCUGUUCGCCAUUUAAAGUGGUACGCGAGCUGGGUUUAGAACGUCGUGAGACAGUUCGGUCCCUAUCUGCCGUGGGCGCUGGAGAACUGAGGGGGGCUGCUCCUAGUACGAGAGGACCGGAGUGGACGCAUCACUGGUGUUCGGGUUGUCAUGCCAAUGGCACUGCCCGGUAGCUAAAUGCGGAAGAGAUAAGUGCUGAAAGCAUCUAAGCACGAAACUUGCCCCGAGAUGAGUUCUCCCUGACCCUUUAAGGGUCCUGAAGGAACGUUGAAGACGACGACGUUGAUAGGCCGGGUGUGUAAGCGCAGCGAUGCGUUGAGCUAACCGGUACUAAUGAACCGUGAGGCUUAACCUU
rnacentral:rRNA from 1 species